AGCGAACGCUGGCGGCAGGCUUAACACAUGCAAGUCGAGCGGGCCUUUCGGGGUCAGCGGCGGACGGGUGAGUAACGCGUGGGAACGUUCCCUCUGGUUCGGAAUAACUCAGGGAAACUUGAGCUAAUACCGGAUACGCCCUUUUGGGGAAAGGCUUGCUGCCGGAGGAUCGGCCCGCGUCUGAUUAGCUAGUUGGUGAGGUAACGGCUCACCCAGGCUACGAUCAGUAGCUGGUCUGAGAGGAUGAUCAGCCACACUGGGGCUGAGACACGGCCCAGACUCCUACGGGAGGAAGCAGUGGGGAAUAUUGGACGAUGGGCGCGAGCCUGAUCCAGCCAUGCCGCGUGAGUGAUGAAGGCCUUAGGGUUGUAAAGCUCUUUUAUCCGGGACGAUAAUGACGGUACCGGAGGAAUAAGCCCCGGCUAACUUCGUG
rnacentral:rRNA from 1 species